AUCCAGUUGACGAGUCUGAGAUAGGAUGAAACGCUUGUCUUGGAU
rfam:Schistosoma curassoni strain Dakar, Senegal genome assembly, scaffold: SCTD_scaffold0004298